rnacentral:rRNA from 1 species
CCUACGGGUGGCAGCAGUGAGGAAUAUUGGUCAAUGGACGAGAGUCUGAACCAGCCAAGUAGCGUGAAGGAUGACUGCCCUAUGGGUUGUAAACUUCUUUUAUAUGGGAAUAAAAUGUUCCACGUGUGGGAUUUUGUAUGUACCAUAUGAAUAAGGAUCGGCUAACUCCGUGCCAGCAGCCGCGGUAAUACGGAGGAUCCGAGCGUUAUCCGGAUUUAUUGGGUUUAAAGGGAGCGUAGGUGGAUUGUUAAGUCAGUUGUGAAAGUUUGCGGCUCAACCGUAAAAUUGCAGUUGAAACUGGCAGUCUUGAGUACAGUAGAGGUGGGCGGAAUUCGUGGUGUAGCGGUGAAAUGCUUAGAUAUCACGAAGAACUCCGAUUGCGAAGGCAGUUCACUGGACUGCAACUGACACUGAGGCUCGAAAGUGUAGGUAUCAAACAGGAUUAGAUACCCUAGUAGUC